UGCAAAUGAGCAAUGCCUAUUUUGAAGGA
rnacentral:piRNA from 1 species